rnacentral:rRNA from 1 species
ACGGGAGGCAGCAGUGGGGGAUAUUGCACAAUGGGGGAAACCCUGAUGCAGCGACGCCGCGUGAGUGAUGAAGUAUUUCGGUAUGUAAAGCUCUAUCAGCAGGGAAGAAAAUGACGGUACCUGACUAAGAAGCACCGGCUAAAUACGUGCCAGCAGCCGCGGUAAUACGUAGGGGGCAAGCGUUAUCCGGAUUUACUGGGUGUAAAGGGAGCGUAGACGGAAGGCCAAGUCUGAUGUGAAAACCCAGGGCUCAACCCUGGGACUGCAUUGGAAACUGGUCAUCUAGAGUGCAGGAGGGGUAAGCGGAAUUCCUAGUGUAGCGGUGAAAUGCGUAGAUAUUAGGAGGAACACCAGUGGCGAAGGCGGCUUACUGGACGAUAACUGACGUUGAGGCUCGAAAGCGUGGGGAGCAAACAGGAUUAGAUACCCUGGUA